rnacentral:rRNA from 1 species
AGAGUUUGAUCCUGGCUCAGGAUGAACGCUGGCGGCGUGCUUAACACAUGCAAGUCGAGCGAAGCGCUUAAGUUUGAUUCUUCGGAUGAAGACUUUUGUGACUGAGCGGCGGACGGGUGAGUAACGCGUGGGUAACCUGCCUCAUACAGGGGGAUAACAGUUAGAAAUGACUGCUAAUACCGCAUAAGACCACAGGGUCGCAUGACCCGGUGGUAAAAACUCCGGUGGUAUGAGAUGGACCCGCGUCUGAUUAGCUAGUUGGUGGGGUAACGGCUCACCAAGGCGACGAUCAGUAGCCGACCUGAGAGGGUGACCGGCCACAUUGGGACUGAGACACGGCCCAAACUCCUACGGGAGGCAGCAGUGGGGAAUAUUGCACAAUGGGCGAAAGCCUGAUGCAGCGACGCCGCGUGAAGGAUGAAGUAUUUCGGUAUGUAAACUUCUAUCAGCAGGGAAGAAAAUGACGGUACCUGACUAAGAAGCCCCGGCUAACUACGUGCCAGCAGCCGCGGUAAUACGUAGGGGGCAAGCGUUAUCCGGAUUUACUGGGUGUAAAGGGAGCGUAGACGGCAUGGCAAGUCUGAAGUGAAAGCCCGGGGCUCAACCCCGGGACUGCUUUGGAAACUGUCAGGCUAGAGUGCUGGAGAGGUAAGUGGAAUUCCUAGUGUAGCGGUGAAAUGCGUAGAUAUUAGGAGGAACACCAGUGGCGAAGGCGGCUUGCUGGACAGUAACUGACGUUGAGGCUCGAAAGCGUGGGGAGCAAACAGGAUUAGAUACCCUGGUAGUCCAUGCCGUAAAC